UUCCUGUAUAUAUUUAAAUCCAUAUUCUGGAACAAAGUCUAACUGGAUAUAUAGCAGCAUUAUGAAAAUCUGCCUCUGGUUCCAGUUACUCAAACCUCUGGCACUGAUUUCGUUAGAAUUGAAUUCUGUCUUAUUGACUGAAAGGGUAGCGUCCCAAGUACUUGUUAGUGUUUUUUAUUUGUGCAUGUGUGAAAGUUAACGAAUAUUAGAAGAACCCAAUUUACAUUUUGGCUGCACUAUCUUAUGUUGAAUGAAAUUACUUAAUUGGUUUUCAUAUAUGGCCUUUCUUUAACAGAGAAAGUUAAAGAAAUCGGCAGAUGACGAUGGGGAAGACGAACCCGAUGGUGUAGUAAAAAAAGCAGCUAAAGGCCGAGCAAGAAAAGUCAAUGGAAGCCCUUCAAAACCUCCAGCAAAAGGACGAGGGAGGGGUCAUACUAAAGCCUGAAAUGUCAGUUUUUAAAAAAAAUUGGUUUUAUAUGUUGUACGGAAAUUUAGGUGUCCAGAAUCUUUUUGAAUAAAAGCAUUUUAAUUAACUGGAAAA